rnacentral:lncRNA from 1 species
AGGUUAGCUAAGAAUUCCUUCUGGGCACGGGUGAAGAUGAGAGUAUUGUCAGCAUAUUGUAAAAUUUUACUGCCACCUCUCACUCAAGGGUUGCUGAGUCCUUCAAAAAUAUCUUUCGAUGUUGCUUUACAAAGCAUUCUAUAGAGGAGGCCAACUACAAGAAUAGAGAGAAAAGGUAAUAAAGGGUCAUCUUACUUGAGACACUUUCUACAAAAAAUUCAGUCAUUGACUUCACCAUUUAUAGAUAUGGCCAC